rnacentral:rRNA from 1 species
UACAGAGGGGGCAAGCGUUGUUCGGAAUUACUGGGCGUAAAGGGCGCGUAGGCGGCGUGCUAAGUCGAACGUGAAAUCCCCGGGCUCAACCCGGGAACUGCGUCCGAGACUGGCAUGCUUGAAUCCGGGAGAGGGAUGCGGAAUUCCAGGUGUAGCGGUGAAAUGCGUAGAUAUCUGGAGGAACAUCGGUGGCGAAGGCGGCAUCCUGGACCGGUAUUGACGCUGAGGCGCGAAAGCCAGGGGAGCAAACGGG